UGCGUAGGCGGUUAACUAAGUUUGGUGUGAAAUCUCCCGGCUUAACUGGGAGGGUGCGCCGAAAACUGGCUAGCUAGAGUGUGGGAGAGGAUAGUGGAAUUCCUGGUGUAGCGGUGAAAUGCGUAGAUAUCAGGAGGAACACCUGCGGUGUAGACGGCUAUCUGGACCAUGACUGACGCUGAGGCACGAAAGCGUGGGUAGCAAACAGGAUUAGAUACCCUGGUAGUCCACGCCCUAAACGAUGCAAACUUGGUGUGCGCCCUUCAUUGGGUGCGUGCCGUAGCUAACGCGUUAAGUUUGCCGCCUGGGGAGUACGGUCGCAAGGCUGAA
rnacentral:rRNA from 1 species